rnacentral:lncRNA from 1 species
CGACCCGCCAUAAACAGGUUUGGGUUUGGCCUAAACAGGUUCGGGUCGUAAACAGGUUGACCCAUUUAACCUGUUUAUUAAUUGGGUCGGAUACGGGUUUUAGAUGUUUAACCCGUUUAACCCGUUUAAUAUGUUUAACUGUUGGGCUGAUAGAAUAUAAGGGCCACAGCCCAUAAGGCUCAGCCGCCCAAGGCCGGCCCAACCUCCCGCCGCAUGGGCCACAGGCCCACAGCCCGCACCGCACUCGGGCUUCAACUUUUCAC